AUGCGGAGAUUGUUUAGAAUCUUAGGUAGAUACUUGAUAUUGAUGAACUUGUAUUUCUCCUUGUUAGAUUGUAUGUUUAUAUCAUAUAAAUAAUCAAUGUAAAAUUUUAUAUAAAUCUAAUAUUAUUUGAUAUAUUUUUAAUAAUUACAAGUUUAAGGGAAUUCUAUAAAAAUAAAUUGUUUUAAUUCAAAAUCUUGGAAAGUCAAAUUUGAUCACUUUUACUUUUGAUGAUAUAGUUCCCUAAGAUCGAGAGGGUACAAGAAUAAAAAAUAUUUGUUUGAUAUGAGUUAUGAUAAACCACUUAAUUGUGUAAUUUAUAUUAACAUUUUGGAUAUAAUUUAUUACAUUUAGUAUUAUUAUUAUUUAGAUACUUAACUAUUUUUAUUUUAUUUUGUAGAAUAUAAAAAAUAUAUAUAUUAUAUAAUAGAAGUGAAAAAUCAUCAAAGACAUACUCUUUACUCUCUAGUAUUACAAUUACAAGAAAAGCUGGAUUAAUCAAUGCUACAGGCCCACCAGUGUUGUACCCAAGAGGUUAGGGGCGGUGAUCUCAAUUAAAAGGAAAAGAUAGACUUAUUAUCUUCCUCCAAACAAAUACAAGUAGCUGCUGCACAAUAGAAGAAUGAGUUAGGUGAGAACAAAGAAAGAAAGAGAGGUAGCGCAAGAGACAAAACAAAGAGGAGGUUUACAAAAGACUUAGAUGUGAAGGAAAUUGGAAGAGGCGGUGAUAGAAAGAAGUAAAUCCUUAACGUUGAAGGAAUUUUGGGGCGGUGAAUCAGAAUUUUACAGGGCUAUAUAUAGAGCAUCACAGAUCAAAGGAAGGGAGUUCUUUUUUUGGGGGGAGCAGACUC
rnacentral:lncRNA from 1 species